rnacentral:lncRNA from 1 species
CCUAGACUCCUCUGAUCCCAUACCAAGCUAUGCUAAUUUUCUUGCUGUUGUGCCACCCACACACUAAGCCUGCUCCUCCCCAGGGCCUCUGCACAUGCUGUUCCCUCUUCCCAGAAUGCUGUACCCAGCCAUCAGUCCCCCAGCUCACUCCUUUGCUUUGUGCAGGUCUCGUUGAAAUGCCACCUGCUCAGAGCAGCUUCCCCAACCAGCUUAUCUCAGACAGCUCUCCGUCACUUCCCGCUCCUCCCGUGGCUUUGUGUUUCCUCGUAGCCAGACGCAUCACAUCAUCGCUCAUCUUUCCAUUGCCGGUUCCCUGACUAGAAUGAAUGUUCUGCCACUGUGGAAAGGAAUGAGGAAGCUGACUCUGCACUGAUAGACAAUGAUUUCCGGGUUUUGUCGUCAUGUGGAAACAAAGCAAAGUACAAGAAUCUACAGCAUGCCAUAUUUUGUGUAAGAAAGAAGAAGAAAUAAGAAAAUGUUUGGGCUGGGUGUGGUGGCUCACACCUGUAAUCCCAGAAUUUUGGGAGGCAGAAGCGGGCAGAUCACCUGAGGUGAGAAGUUCGAGACAAGCCUGGCCAACGUGGCAAAGCCCCAUCUCUACUAAAAAUACAAAAAUUAGCUGGGAAUGGUGGCAGAUGCCUGUAAUCCCAGCUACUCAGGAGGCUGAGGCAGGAGAAUCACCUGAACCCGGGAGGUGGAGGUUGCAGUGAGCCAAGACCUAACCACUGCACUCCAGCCCAGGCUACAGAAUGAGACUUCAUCUCAAAAAAGAAAAAAAGAAAAUGUCUGUGGACUUGUCCAUUUUCGCAAAAGUAAGCAGAGGAAAGAAAAGGCAGAAAUUGAUGCAACGAGCCACGUAAUAAUGGGAGUUGCAGUCAGGGGGCAAUGGGGACAGGGAGAGUUGGGACGCUUUUCUGAGUGCCCCAUUUUGCAGAGUGUUGACCUUCAGGAACAUGUUAAUGUUCUACAUACUGAAAACAAGAAAAAGUCAACAAAGAUCAGGGUGGCAGGAGCCCUAAAUGGAAUGUAAACUGAAACAAGUGAACCUACCUGUAUUUCAAAUGAAUAAAGUAACCACAUUAAAGGGUAGUGGAGGAAGAGAACGACUCCAGAUAACUUUGAACGUAACACUUCCAUCAUAUAUACUCGGGCUAAACACAAAAGAACUGCAUCCAGUACUGAACUCUACCUAGAAGCCUUACUUUUUGUUUUUACAGUGACAUGGGCUGGAAAUUCUGAAAUGAACUUCCCUGUAUUGCUCAGUGUUGGAGAAGAGAUUUACAAGUAUGAAAAGGGAGAAUAUUAGAAUGAAUUCUAAUAUGUGGUGGCAGGGCACGGUGGCUCACACCUGUAAUCCCAGCAACUCUGGGAAGCCAAGGCAGGCAGAUCACCUGAGGUCAGGAGUUUGAGACCAGUCUAGCCAACAUGGUGAAACCCCAUCUCUGCUGAAAAUACAAAAAUUAGCCAGGUGUGGUGGCACAUGCCUGUAAUUCCAGCAGAGGUUGCAGUGAGCUGAGAUGGCGCCACUGCACUCCAGCCUGGGUGACAAGAGUGAAACUCCGUCUCAAAAAAAAAAAGAAUGAAUUCUGUGGUGCUGGAUUGAAAUUGUUUUAUAGAUAAUCAGUAGAAUAGACAGAAAAAUUUAAGUUGGCAUAUACAUGUAUAUGUGUGUGUAUGUAUUUUAUAUAUACAUAAUAUAUUAUAUAUGUAUUUUUUAUAUAUAUAUAUAUAUUUGUACUUAU